rnacentral:lncRNA from 1 species
CUACUGAGUCGUGCAAGUACAGUCUUCCCAAAAUGUCUCUUGUUGUUGCAUCAUCGAACUCAAAUCUUGUGAAAAGGCUCCUAAGUUUCUCUUCUUCCUCCUCAGUCCAAGGAACCGCCUCAAGGUACUUUAAACAACACCGAACGCCCUUAGUGAACAUAAUUCCUGCCGAAACCUAGUAAUAUAUAUCAGGUCAACCUCAGCCAAAGAUUAAGUGCUAGUUUCAAUGCACGUUAAAUCAUCCCAAAUAAUAUUUAAGUAUCAACUAUUCUAAUUUAAUACAAGCAUUCAUAUAUUUGAUUCCAUACAAUGAAACUGAUUCUAGACUUCAAAUUCAUUUUUGUAAUUAAAAGAAUAUUAGAUACCUUUUGCUCUAAAAUGUAUAUAUACUAAGUUUUAUGGUUAACAUGCAUUUAGACUAAAAAUUCCAAACAUUUACUAAUUCCCUUCAAUACUAAGAGCUGUCCAUGUCCAUGCUCAGCUCUAAAUGGGAGUUGUUUUAACAUGGAAAACUUUAUAGUAAGUUUUUCGAGAAACAGGGCGAUUCUUUAAUUCUACUCCAACUUGAUAAGAUUCCGAUGUUGGUAAAAUUUCUUCUCCAAAUCAAUUAUAUAUUCAAAUCUUGAAUUCGAGAACAAUGACAAAACUAAAACAACCCCUCUAUCCACUCUUUGCAGGUUUUGUUAUACAUACGUUGGUUGAUAAUUCCAAAUAUUUUUCCUGUUAUAAAAGAUUUCUACUUAACUUCAUGCCAAUCUAUGAAUCCAACGGCCGCGACAAAAUGAGUAAUUUUGUCAAACGAAAAACUUGCGUAUGUAAGUAAAAUGAAGAGAGAUCAAAAGGUGAAGAAAUAGGCAC